UUGGGACAGCCGUCGGAUUUGGCAGAGAUGGCAGGGAAAGUGGCGGUGCUGUUUGUUCCUUUGCAUUUCAGCUUUGCGAUUCAGUUUCCUAUACAGAGAUUCCUGCAGAGCCAGUUGAAGACGGCAGUGAUUGCUUAUGUUUCGUUAGUGGCGUUGGUGGUUCAUAUUUUGGUGAGCUGGUUGUUUGUUUAUGGGCUUAAGCUUG
rnacentral:misc_RNA from 1 species